UUAAAUUGAAGAGUUUGAUCAUGGCUCAGAUUGAACGCUGGCGGCAGGCCUAACACAUGCAAGUCGAACGGUAACAGGAAGAAGCUUGCUUCUUUGCUGACGAGUGGCGGACGGGUGAGUAAUGUCUGGGAAACUACCUGAUGGAGGGGGAUAACUACUGGAAACGGUAGCUAAUACCGCAUAACGUCGCAAGACCAAAGAGGGGGACCUUCGGGCCUCUUGCCAUCGGGUGUGCCCAGAUGGGAUUAGCUAGUAG
rnacentral:rRNA from 1 species